CACCGCCCGUUGCUCCUACCGAUUGAAUGGUCCGGAGAAGUGUUCAGAUCGCGGCGACAUGGGCGGUUCGCUGCCCGCGACGUUGCGGGAAGUCCACUGAACCUUAUCAUUUAGAGGAAGGAGAAGUCCUAACAAGGUUUCCGUAGGUGAACCUGCGAAAG
rnacentral:ncRNA from 1 species